GAUGAACGCUGGCGGCGUGCCUAAUACAUGCAAGUCGAGCGAACGGACGAGAAGCUUGCUUCUCUGAUGUUAGCGGCGGACGGGUGAGUAACACGUGGAUAACCUACCUAUAAGACUGGGAUAACUUCGGGAAACCGGAGCUAAUACCGGAUGAUAUUUUGAACCGCAUGGUUCAAAAGUGAAAGACGGUCUUGCUGUCACUUAUAGAUGGAUCCGCGCUGCAUUAGCUAGUUGGUAAGGUAACGGCUUACCAAGGCAACGAUGCAUAGCCGACGUGAGAGGGUGAUCGGCCACACUGGAACUGAGACACGGUCCAGACUCCUACGGGAGGCAGCAGUAGGGAAUCUUCCGCAAUGGGCGAGAGCCUGACGGAGCAACGCCGAGUGAGUGAUGAAGGUCUUCGGAUCGUAAAACUCUGUUAUUAGGGAAGAACAUAUGUGUAAGUAACUGUGCACAUCUUGACGGUACCUAAUCAGAAAGCAACGGCUAACUACGUG
rnacentral:rRNA from 1 species